AUGGUUAAGUUAGAAAGGGCGCACGGUGAAUGCCUUGGCACUAGGAGCCGAUGAAGGACGGGACUAACACCGAUAUGCUUCGGGGAGCUGUAAGUAAGCUUUGAUCCGGAGAUUUCCGAAUGGGGAAACCCACUGUUCGUAAUGGAGCAGUAUCUUUAUCUGAAUAAAUAGGAUAUUGAAGGCAGACCCGGGGAACUGAAACAUCUAAGUACCCGGAGGAAGAGAAAGCAAAUGCGAUUUCCUGAGUAGCGGCGAGCGAAACGGAAUUAGCCCAAACCAAGAGGCUUGCCUCUUGGGGUUGUAGGACACUCUAUACGGAGUUACAAAGGAACGAGGUAAAUGAAGAGGUCUGGAAAGGCCCGUCAAAGAAGGUAACAACCCUGUAGUUGAAACUUCGUUCCCUCUUGAGUGGAUCC
rnacentral:rRNA from 2 species